UACGAAGGGGGGCUAGCGUUGUUCGGAAUUACUGGGCGUAAAGCGCGUGUAGGCGGGUCUUUUAAGUCAGGGGUGAAAUGCCAGGGCUCAACCUUGGAACUGCCUUUGAUACUGGAGACCUUGAGUCCGGGAGAGGUGAGUGGAACUGCGAGUGUAGAGGUGAAAUUCGUAGAUAUUCGCAAGAACACCAGUGGCGAAGGCGGCUCACUGGCCCGAUACUGACGCUGAGGCACGAAAGCGUGGGGAGCAAACAGG
rnacentral:rRNA from 1 species